rnacentral:piRNA from 1 species
UGGUGCCCAUGCGAGACCGAAAGACA